UACGUAGGGGGGCAAGCGUUGUCCGGAUUUAUUGGGCGUAAAGAGCUCGUAGGCGGUUUGUCGCGUCUGCUGUGAAAAUCCAGGGCUUAACCCUGGACCUGCAGUGGGUACGGGCAGACUAGAGUGCGGUAGGGGAGAUCGGAAUUCCUGGUGUAGCGGUGAAAUGCGCAGAUAUCAGGAGGAACACCGGUGGCGAAGGCGGAUCUCUGGGCAGUAACUGACGCUGGAGGAGCGAAAGCGUGGGGAGCGAACAGGA
rnacentral:rRNA from 1 species